rnacentral:lncRNA from 1 species
CAACUGAAUAUUCAUAUAUUUAUUUUUAAAACACAGAACAGGCCGGGCAAAGUGUCUCGUGGAUGAGAAGAAAAAGCCUACCCAACUGCUACUGGAUUUUGCUGUUACAGACAAUCUUGUAAGUGAGGUUGCUGGGUCAAAUGGUAAGUGCAUUUGUACUUUUGACAGACAUGGUUAGAUUCUGCACUCCUACCAACAAUGUAUGACAUCAUUUAUGAAAACUGGACAACCAAAUGAGUUACCAAACUUUUGAGUUUUUACCAAUGUGACAGGUAGAAAACUGUUUUACUGUAGUUUUAAUUUGC